rnacentral:misc_RNA from 1 species
GAUGAAGAACGUAGCGAAACGCGAUAAGUAAUGUGAAUUGCAGAAUUCAGUGAAUCAUCGAAUCUUUGAACGCACAUUGCGCCCCUUGGUAUUCCGAGGGGCAUGCCUGUUCGAGCGUCAUUAUAACCCCUCAAGCUCAGCUUGGUGUUGGGGCCUGCUGCACUGGCAGCCCUUAAAAUCAGUGGCGGCGCCGUCUGGCUCUAAGCGUAGUAAUUCUUCUCGCUAUGGAGUCCUGGUGGAUGCUUGCCAUCAACCCCCAAUUUUUCUAUGGUUGACAUCGGCUCAGGUAGGGAUACCCGCUGAACUUAAGCAUAUCAAUAAGCGGAGGA